AUAUCAAUAAGCGGAGGAAAAGAAACCAACAGGGAUUGCCCUAGUAACGGCGAGUGAAGCGGCAACAGCUCAAAUUUGAAAUCUGACCCCCUCGGGGUUCGAGUUGUAAUUUGUAGAGGAUGCUUCGGCGUCGGCCCCGGGCUAAGUCCCCUGGAACGAGGCGCCCUAGAGGGUGAGAGCCCCGUACUCACUCGGGUGCCCUUCGCCAUGUGAAGCUCCUUCGACGAGUCGAGUUGUUUGGGAAUGCAGCUCUAAGCGGGAGGUAUAUUUCUUCUAAAGCUAAAUACCGGCCAGAGACCGAUAGCGCACAAGUAGAGUGAUCGAAAGAUGAAAAGCACUUUGGAAAGAGAGUUAAAAAGCACGUGAAAUUGUUGAAAGGGAAGCUCUUGCCGCCAGACUUGCCGCGGUUGCUCAGCCGCCCCCCGGGGCGGUGUACUCUUCCGUCGGCAGGCCAGCGUCGGUUCGGGCGACCGGAUAAAGGCCCUGGGAAUGUAGCACCCUCCGGGGUGUGUUAUAGCCCGGGGUGCAAUGCGGUCAGCCCGGUCCGAGGCACGCGUUCGCGAGGACGCUGGCGUAAUGGCUGCAAGCGACCCGUCUUGAAACACGGACCAAGGAGUCUAACAUCUGUGCGAGUGUUUGGGUCUCAAACUCAUGCGCGUAAUGAAAGUGAACGGAGGUGGGAACCCCCUCGAGGGGCGCACCAUCGACCGAUCCUGAUGUCUUCGGAUGGAUUUGAGUAAGAGCAUAGCUGUUGGGACCCGAAAGAUGGUGAACUAUUCCCGGAUAGGGUGAAGCCAGAGGAAACUCUGGUGGAGGCUCGCAGCGGUUCUGACGUGCAAAUCGAUCGUCAAAUCUAGGAAUAGGGGCGAAAGACUAAUCGAACCAU
rnacentral:rRNA from 1 species